GCGUGUUCGGAAUUACUGGGCGUAAAGCGUACGUAGGCGGAUUAAUAAGUUAGAGGUGAAAUCCCAGGGCUCAACCCUGGAACUGCCUUUAAAACUGUUAGUCUUGAGAUCGAGAGAGGUGAGUGGAAUUCCAAGUGUAGAGGUGAAAUUCGUAGAUAUUUGGAGGAACACCAGUGGCGAAGGCGGCUCACUGGCUCGAUACUGACGCUGAGGUACGAAAGUGUGGGGAGCAAACAGGAUUAGAUACCCUGGUAGUCCACACCGUAAACGAUGAAUGCCAGACGUCAGCAAGCAUGCUUGUUGGUGUCACACCUAACGGAUUAAGCAUUCCGCCUGGGGAGUACGGUCGCAAGAUUAAAACUCAAAGGAAUUGACGGGGGCCCGCACAAGCGGUGGAGCAUGUGGUUUAAUUCGACGCAACGCGCAGAACCUUACCAACCCUUGACAUACUUGUCGCGGAUUCCAGAGAUGGAUUCCUUCAGUUCGGCUGGACAAUGUACAGGUGCUGCAUGGCUGUCGUCAGCUCGUGUCGUGAGAUGUUCGGUUAAGUCCGGCAACGAGCGCAACCCACGUCCUUAGUUACCAGCAUUUAGUUGGGUACCCUAAGGAGACUGCCGGUGAUAAGCCGGAGGAAGGUGUGGACGACGUCAAGUCAUCAUGGCCUUACGGGUUGGGCUACACACGUGCUACAAUGGCAUCUACAGUGAGCUAAUCUCCAAAAGAUGUCUCAGUUCGGAUUGGGGUCUGCAACUCGACCCCAUGAAGUUGGAAUCGCUAGUAAUCGCGGAACAGCAUGCCGCGGUGAAUACGUUCCCGGGCCUUGUACACACCGCCCGUCACACCAUGGGAAUUGGGUCUACCCGAAGGUGGUGCGCCAACUAUUUAUAGAGGCAGCCAACCACGGUAGGUUCAGUGACUGGGGUGUAGUCGUAACAAGGUUCCCG
rnacentral:rRNA from 1 species